AACACGAGCCGUUACACCAGAAGGAAGAACACUCUCCUUGUACUCCUCACUCUGUUCCUCAAAAAGCUCCCAUGAUACAAACGAAACAACCCGGACCGCUUUCCCUUCCUUUCUAAGUUCAUCCGCCGCUUUCGCUGCAAUCUCCAGCUCCGACCCGGUCCCGAUCAAGAUCACAUCGGGCUUGUUGCCCGUGGAAUUAUCGGUAAUCGUGUACCCACCUUUCGCGACGCCUUCAAUCGAAGUUCCGGUCAGGUUGGGCAGCUUUUGGCGGGAAAGAGCGAGGAUAGACGGUCUUUUCCGGCUCUCCACCGCCACCUUGUAGGCUCCGGCGGUCUCGUUUCCGUCGGCCGGGCGGAACAUCAAGAUGUUGGGCAUGGCACGGAAACUUGCCAAGUGUUCGAUGGGUUGAUGGGUGGGCCCGUCUUCUCCUAGCCCGAUGGAAUCGUGAGUCAUGACAUAGAUGACUCCGGCUUCUGAGAGGGCGGAGAUUCUCAUUGCACCUCUCAUGUAAUCGGUGAAGACAAAGAAGGUGGCACAGUAGGGGACGAAUCCCGGGCUGUGGAGGGCGAUUCCGUUACAAAUGGCUCCCAUUCCGUGUUCACGCACACCGAAUCGGACGUUGCGUUCUUCGGGGGUGCUUUUUUGGAAAUCUCCAAACAUUUUCAUUAGAGUCAUGUUUGAUGAUGCGAGAUCGGCACUUCCACCAAUGAGACCCGGGAGGACGGGUGCUAAUGCGUUUAGCAUUGUUUGUGAGAGGUUUCUUGUCGCGUCGCCGGGUGUCUCCGGGGUGUAUAUCUACAUAAACACAAAAGUUUUUUAAUAAAUUAAUAUACUGCCUUAGAGGUUCAGUUCGGUAGUUUCAAUGCCAAUGUGGAUUGUGUUGUUAUGUCAUUGUCAGCUACCUAGUGGGCCACUGUAUAUAGUGUGGGCCGGCUAAGGGGUCGCUGGAAGAAUAACUUUUUUUUUGUAGAAAGAUAAAGUUGAUAUGUUUUUUGCUAUAAAAGGAAACUAACCGGAAGAGCCUUUUCCCAUCCGGCGGGGAAUACGCCUUCAGCAAUAGACUUUAAUUCUGCAGCAUCUUCGGCGUAUUUCUUUUCAUAUUCUGCAAAUUUAGUGUUCCAUUCGGCUUCAAGGGCAGCACCUUCAGGGGUGUGGCGGCUCCAGUGCCUAUCAAGAAAUCAAGAAACCUUAACUUAGAAUCUUGGAUUUGGUCCGGUAAAAAAGUUAGGAUCUUUAUACUGUUUUGCAUGAUAUCAAGAAAAACCCUCAUUUUGAAUUUUGAAUUUGAUCCAAGAAAACAAUUUAGAAUCUUUAAGAUCUUAUACAUAAAAUCAAGAAAGACUACUUUAGAAUCUUGAAUUUGAUCCAAUAAAAAAGUUAGAAUCUUUAAGAUCUUUUGCAUAACAUCAAGAAGAAACCCAACUUUGAAUUUUGAAUUUGGUCCAAAAGACAAAAAGUUAGAAUCUUUAAGAUCUUUGCAUAAAAUCUAGAAACUUGAGUUUAGAAUCUUGGAUUUGACCCGAGAAAAAAAGUUAGAAUCUUUAAGAACUUUUGCAUACUUUUUCACUUCUUCUGGUACAUGGAAUGGCUCAUAAGGCCAUCCGAGGUUUUGUCUGGUGGCAUCAACUUCUUUUGCACCCAAAGCAGCUCCAUGGACACUGUAUGAAUUCGCCUUGUUUGGUGAUCCAAAACCAAUUGUUGUUGUCACCUGAAACAGACAUCACUUAAUCUGGUAAGCUAUAUAUGCUCGUUUCUUUCAGACAUAACACAAAAAGAACAUCCUAACAGAGAAAAUCAAGAAAACACAGCUUUUUCUCUUAUGUCCUAACUUUUUUUUUGCAUGAUCAUAUUAUUAAGUACCUUUAUCAAAGUGGGUUUAUCUGUGACAGCUUUAGCUUCUUUAAUGGCAGCACGAAUCUCAUCAUAACCAGUGUUACCAUUCUUGACCCAGAUAAUAUGCCACCCAAGAGCCUCAAAACGUGUAUCCACACUCUCAGUGAAGGCAAUCUCUGUGUCACCAUCAAUGGAGAUGUGGUUGUCAUCAUAGAAAGCAAUCAGCUUUCCAAGACCCCAAUGGCCAGCAAGUGAACAUGCUUCAUUUGCAAUCCCUUCCAUUUGACACCCAUCUCCAAGAAUACAGUAUCUGAAUCAAAAAAGAAACAUUUUUUUUAAUAAAGAUUAGAUUUUUAGAAUACCCGAAUAGAGAUUUGAAAUCUUACGUGUAGUGGUCAACAAUCUCAGCAUCGGGUUUGUUGUAUCGGGCAGCUAAAUGCUUCUCAGCAAGAGCAAGACCAACAGCAUUGGCAAUACCUUGACCAAGAGGACCUGAUAAUAAACAAAGAUUUUUUUUAGAAAGAUAUGAUUUUUUACAAGAUUUUAGUAUGUAGAUGUGUAUGAGUUGAGUACUAACCAGUGGUGACUUCAAUACCAGGGGUUUCAAAGUUUUCAGGGUGGCCUGGAGUUCUGCUUCCCCAUUGACGGAAUUGCUUCAAGUCCUCUUCCUGAUAGAGGAUACUCCAGGUUAUUAUCAGACAAUCAAUUCAAAGAUCAAUCAAUCAUCAAGUGGUGAAGAUAUAGCGAAAUCAAAAACGUAUCAUCAAGCACAAAUGAAACUAAGAGUGAGCCAAGGAAGUACAAUCUUGUUCCACGAUUUGGGUUGGAGACUUAAAGUUAUACACUUUUGUGAUCGAAAUGAAAGAGCCAAAACGCUAACUUUAUUCAAGUUAAUUAGCUUGUGUAAGUACAAAAAUGAAUCUUUAUCCCAUUUAAACCGAUUCCUAGAUCCCAACAAGUUAUAUGUGUCCGAACACAUAAACGCUCUACUGAAAAUUUGAAGAGAUAGAAUAGCUAAUGAACUUAUUUGUACCAUGAUAAUGUAAUUUUUUGAAAAAACCCAGAUCCGAAAACAGAUUCAAUUCACUUGAACAUUUCGUCGAACAGAUGGAGGAUGUGGAAGAUAGAAAUCACGAGGUAGAUCAACUAUGAAUAGCCUCAGUUUGCCAUUGAAAAACAAAUUUGUUUUACUUAAUCAGACUGAUAAAUUCAAGAGAAAUUAGAUGCAAAUUAGUACUGAAACGCAUAGAGAUAAUAGUCAAGGGCUUACUAGGACGCUGUCGUAGCCAGCAAGGUGCAACAGAGCAUACUGGAGCAUACAUCCAUGUCCGGCGGAGAGAACAAAGCGAUCCCUGUUGAACCAAUACGGGUUCUUGGGGUUAUACCUCAUGACCUCAUCGUACAAUAUAUGACCCAUCGGAG
rnacentral:lncRNA from 1 species